rnacentral:tRNA from 1 species
GGGGCGGUAGCUCAGUUGGUAGAGCAACGGCCUUUUAAGCCGUGGGUCCCGGGUUCGAGUCCCGGCCGCCUCACCA